rnacentral:snRNA from 1 species
UGGCUUUGGCAGCAUAUACACUAAAUUUGGAAUGAUUCAGAGAACAUUAGCAUGGCCCUUGUGCAAGGAUGACACACAAAUUCAUAAAGCAUUCCAUAUUUUU